UCGGAUUGGAGGUAGGUUGCGGGCAACAGCAACCCAGCUUCCGAGAAGUUGGUCAAACUUGGUCAUUUAGAGGAAGUAAAAGUCGUAACAAGGUUUCCGUAGGUGACCUGCGGAAGGAUCAUUAUAAAAAAGUCGGGCUUGGGUUUAAUCCAAGACCUGCCCCCAAAAGGGACCUUUUGUGCACUGUAAAAUUUUUUCACUUAAGAAUUGUCUGAUUGAUAAUUGUACCGAAAGGGACAAGAAUUUUAAUCUAAAACAACUUUUAACAAUGGAUCUCUUGGCUCUCGCAUCGAUGAAGAACGCAGCGAAAUGCGAUAAGUAAUGUGAAUUGCAGAAUUCAGUGAAUCAUCGAAUCUUUGAACGCAUAUUGCGCUCUCUGGCAUUCCGGAGAGCAUGCCUGUUUGAGUAUUGGCCUAAAUGAGAGUCUUCCUUUAAAGAUAUAAAAAAGAACGUUAAGAACCCUCAGUUGAGACUUCUCGACAAUUCAUUGCCGAGUGUUUUAAAAUGCAAUAGUACCGCCACGUUUGCGAACUUGGAGUAAUAUGUGAGCCUGAAAAGGUGACCUCUAUUCUCCUCGGACCACGUAGACCUGUUAAGCGGGAAGUUUUUGAAUGCUGAAUUAUGGGAGACGGUGUUCAAUUGUUCGAGUAACGACGAACGAAAUAAACUCAAUCUCAAAUCAGGUAGGAUACCCGCUGAACUUAGC
rnacentral:rRNA from 1 species